rnacentral:sRNA from 1 species
AUGAAGAUGUAUAUCUAUAAUGUGGCCUUUGUCAUGAUUUUGGAGGAUGGGUGUAUUCGAAUCCAAUGAGGGGUAGGGUAUGACUCAUUAUCAUGUGCCAUGAUUUUGUCUUCCUUUAGCUUUUCUUUUGCUUUGCUUUACCAUUUUUGCUUUCCUUUAGUCUUCCUUUAGCUUUUCUUCAAUAUAACACCAUUUUCUGUGGCUCAGAUCGCAAAACCAUCUUCAUGAAAGUUGUUCCUUAGCUCGUGAACUACAACAUAUCCGAAUUGGAGAUCCAUCGGAGCAGUACAACUCCAGAAAUUCAGAUCAACAUACUUUCUUCAUCGAAGUUGUUCCUUAACUUGUGAACUACAACAUAUCCAAAUUUGAGGUCCCUCGGAGCAGUAUAACUCCAGAAAUCCAAAUCGGUAUGCUUUCUUCAUUGAAGUUGUUCCUCAGCUCGUGAACUACAACAUAUCCAAAAUUGAGAUCCCUCGGAGCUGUGUAACUCAAGAAAUUCAGAUCUUCGAAACAUCACAGCAGCUUCGAAAUCUGCAAGAAUCCGACUGUCAUGUUUGGAGCUUCAACACUUUAAUUUCCGUCGCUCAAACAGAAAUGGU